UCCCUCCCUCACUUACAUAAGGCAGCUGGCCGGGAUGCUGCGGCGCUCCGAGCCCAGGGAACCUUCCGCAGGAUUCUCCAGAAAGGAGAGAGAGAAAUGGGAAAUGGGGGAAUUAGGGAGCCCACAGCCAGCCCUGGAUCUCACACAGUUGUGGCCUGAGGAGCAAUCACCACCACAUGACCUGGAAGGAUGGUGGGUGUGGCUUUGGGAAUGGAGCAUUUGGCUUUCUGUCCUCGGACGUGCCUGGGAAUUCCUCAAGUUACCGCUGGAAUUGGAAAGUUUGCUCUGAACCAAAAGCACUUGAAGUCCGUGAGGUGCUGCAGAGAGAGGAGCCACUAACUCAGCUGGCACUUCACAUCACUCAGGAUGGAGAACCUCCAAAGAAGUUCUGCCUACAGCACUGGAAUUAUUUGACUCAUUAUUAAAGGGAUGAAUGGGUUAUAA